rnacentral:lncRNA from 10 species
CUGAUGGCCAAGUCAUAGUGUGCCUGGGAGCAGGAAGCACAGAGAGCAAAGAAACAGGCUUAGACAUUGGCCGAAGUACUCCCUGGACCCAAUGACAAUGGGACUGCUAAGCCUAUUCUAGUCUGUCAUGUCCAAAAUGGGAAGGAUCAUUAGCUUUAAUAACCUGAUGCUCGGCCAGAUUUUUUUUUUUUUUUCUGAGACCUCGCCUCACAGGGAUGAAUCAGCCAGAAAUAUUUUGGGAUCUUGAGACAUUAAAUUUAUUUCCACUAGAGCAGUUAUCUGAUUUCUGUGAUUUGGAAAAGAAAGGAGAGAUCAGUGAAGAAUAAUAAACUUGGAAUCAGAAAAUCUGGGCUCAAAUCUAGGUAUUGCCAACAACUCACGGAAUAUUCUUAGGGACUGAACCAAACUGAACAGUGAACCUAAAUGAAUAAAUAAACAGGAAGAAUGGGACCAUGACCAAAUGUUGCAACCGGAUCCAAAGUUUGAUGCCUUGGCAUCACUUGUUUGGUCAUUUGAAAUGCAAAUUCCUAGGCCGCGGGGGCGCCCCCCUCACCCCCGCCCCCCUUCACCUCCUGAAUCAAAACAGCCUUGUAAUACGACCUCAUUAAAGUUUGAGAAGCACUGCUCUAAUCUACUUAAUUUCUCUGUUUAAUAUGUGUACACAGAGAAUAAGGCUUAACUAUUUCCUUAGCUCCAGGGUAGUUUUGAAAGCCAGUGAGCCUGGCUCUACUUUAGUCGGAGAAGAAGAGGAGAGGGGAGUGGAGGGAGAGAGUCUUUUUUAUUAGUGUAAGGAUAGUAAAUGGGCAGUGAAAAAACUGAGGGUUUGCUAAUUUCUUUUGAGUUAGAUCUUUAUAUGGUUUCUUCCUCAAUUUCUGUGACGUGAACUUUCAGAUCCUGAGUCUGGGCUUCGAAAUAAAUAACACCAAGGAUUUUUAGGGUUACUUAAUUUAUUUGGUUUUCUCUCACUAAUGCAAAUGGUAAAGAAAUUAUUUUGAGAACUACAUGAUAGCUAAUUUUGUCAAACUCUUAACUCCACAGACGUAACAUUUUGCCUGGCAUUAAUUUUGAUUUUUAAUCUUCUUUCCUAAUAGCAAAUAACUCUCAUGAUUUUUAUUUUCUCAUUCUCUUUGCUUUCUGGUUAGUGGGUUGAAAUGACCAUAUGAACA